GGGUUAAGUCCCGCAACGAGCGCAACCCCUAUUCUUAGUUGCCAGCAUGUCAUGGUGGGGACUCUAAGAAGACUGCCUGCGCAAGCAGAGAGGAAGGAGGGGAUGACGUCAAGUCAUCAUGGCCCUUACGCCCAGGGCUACACACGUGCUACAAUGGCGUCUACAAAGUGUUGCCAGUCAGUGAUGACGAGCCAAUCACAAAAAGGACGUCUCAGUUCGGAUUGCAGGCUGCAACUCGCCUGCAUGAAGUUGGAAUCGCUAGUAAUCGCGCAUCAGCAAUGGCGCGGUGAAUACGUUCCCGGACCUUGUACACACCGCCCGUCAAGCCAUGGAAGUUGGGAGGACCUGAAGCCAGUUGCUGUGAGGCGCUGUUUAGGGUUAAACCAAUGACUGGGGCUAAGUCGUAACAAGGUAGCCGUACCGGAAGGUGCGGCUGGAACACC
rnacentral:rRNA from 1 species